ensembl:snoRNA
CAAGGAGCACAUUAAAAUACACUCACAUUCCACACUAAGUAUAAUAUAUCUGUAAAGAUUUAACAAUUUCCCCCCCAACGGUUGUCGUUCGGUUUGCCAUAACUGGUCUGCAACAUUGUGGAGAAAGACAGCC